rnacentral:lncRNA from 1 species
UUUGGUUCUCUUUCUUCAUUAAAUCUUUUGGCACCUAUAGAUCCUUGUUAGAAUAUCCAAAAAUGAAUUUCUAGCCUUUAAAAGUUGAGAACUAACCAUUGCAGGUGUUCUAUGCAAACCUGUAGCUUCUAAAAAUUUUUUGUUGAAACUGUUAGCUGUAGAAUAUUUUACAAGAUUGUAUUGUAUACAAAAAAAUAUGAUAUAUAACAAUACAUCUAAAUAUCAAUAUGGCAGAGUAACAAAGCAUAAUUUUAAAUAAAAAGAUAAUCAAUCAUAUUCUAGAUCUAGUCCUCACCUAUAGAGACUUCUAGGAUAGAGGAAGAGCUAGUCCUAAAGGAAGGAAAUCCAGCUCUCUUACUCC